CGGGGGGCAGCAGUGGGGAAUAUUGGACAAUGGGGGAAACCCUGAUCCAGCAAUGCCGCGUGUGUGAAGAAGGCCUGAGGGUUGUAAAGCACUUUCAGUGGGGAGGAGGAUUGAUAGGUUAAGAGCUAAUUAAUUGGACGUUACCCACAGAAGAAGCACCGGCUAACUCCGUGCCAGCAGCCGCGGUAAUACGGAGGGUGCAAGCGUUAAUCGGAAUUACUGGGCGUAAAGGGUGCGUAGGUGGUUGAAUAAGUUAUCUGUGAAAUCCCCGGGCUUAACCUGGGCAGGUCAGAUAAGACUGUUUGACUCGAGUAUAGGAGAGGGUAGUGGAAUUUCCGGUGUAGCGGUGAAAUGCGUAGAGAUCGGAAGGAACACCAGUGGCGAAGGCGGCUACCUGGCCAGAUACUGACACUGAAGCACGAAAGCGUGGGGAGCAAACAGGAUUAGAUACCCCAGU
rnacentral:rRNA from 1 species